AUUAAUAUUUAAUUAUUAAAUUUAUUUUAAAAUAAUUAUAUAUUAAAAAUAUUUAUUUAAUUUUUUAGUAUAUUAAUAGAAAAAAUAAUUUUAAUUAUAGUAAAAUAGUAUUGUGGAAGAAUAUUGAAAUAGUUUGAAAAAUUUUUAUUAAAUAAGAAAAUUUAAUUUAUUGUACCUUGUGUAUCAGGGUUUAUUAAAUAAAUUUUAAAAAUUAUUAAAUUUCUCGAUUUUAAAAGAGUUAAUAUAUUAUAAAAUUUAAUGUUAUAAAAUUAUUUUAAAUAAUAUAUUGGAAGUGAAAAGUAUUUCGGUUUUAAUGGUAUCUAGUUUUUUAAGAAAUAAAUUUAAUUUAAAAAAUUAUUAUUAUUGAUUUAAUUAUAAAAUUAAUAAUUAUUAAUUUUAAAUAUUUUAUGGGAUAAGCUAUAAAAUAAAUAAUUAAAAAUAAGUAUUUAAUUUAAUAAAUUUAAGCUUAGAAGUAGUUAUUAUUAAUAAUAUUGUUAUAAUUUAUAUUUAUUAUGAAAUUAUUUAUUUAAUUUUAAUUAAUUUAUUAAAAUAUUUAUUUAAAUUUUAUAAAUAAAGGAAUAAUGAUAAAAUUAGUAUAUUUAUUGUAAAAAUUAUAAAUAAUUGAUAAGUUAAUAUAAAGAAUUAGGCAAAUUAAUAUCCGCCUGUUUAACAAAAACAUCUCUUUUUGAAUAUUAAUAAAAAGUUUAACCUGCCCACUGAUAUAUAUCUAUUAAAUGGCCGCAGUAUAUUAACUGUGCAAAGGUAGCAUAAUCAUUAGUCUUUUAAUUGAAGGCUGGAAUGAAUGGUUGGACGAGAUAUUUACUGUUUCAUAUUUAUUUAUAUUAGAAUUUUAUUUUUUAGUAAAAAAGCUAAAAUAAUAUUAAAAGACGAGAAGACCCUAUAAAUCUUUAUAUUUAAUUAAUUUUUAUGUAUUAGAAAUUAAAUUAUAUUUAUUAAUUUAAAUAUUUUAUUGGGGUGAUAUUAAAAUUUAAUUAACUUUUAAUGUUAUAGAACAUUAAUUUAUGAAUUAUUGAUCCAAUAAUAUUGAUUAUUAGAAUAAGUUACUUUAGGGAUAACAGCGUAAUUUUUUUGGAGAGUUCAUAUUGAUAAAAAAUA
rnacentral:rRNA from 1 species